rnacentral:rRNA from 1 species
UACAGAGGUCUCAAGCGUUGUUCGGAAUUACUGGACGUAAAGGGUGCGCAGGCCGCGCGGGCAGUCAAAUGUGUAAUCCAGGGGCUCAACCCCUGAACUGCGCUUGAUACUUCCGCGCUCGAGCUUUGGAGAGGAGUCUGGAAUUCUCGGUGUAGCAGUGAAAUGCGUGGAUAUCGAGAAGAACACUUAGGGCGUAGGCAAGACUCUGGACAAAUGCUGACGCUCAUGCACGAAGGCUAGGGUAGCGAACGGG